AGCUGAUAUGGAUGCUUUGCCUAUUCAGGAAUUGACUGAAUGGGAGUACAAGAGCAAAGUAGAUGGGAAAAUGCAUGCCUGUGGUCAUGAUGGGCAUGUUGCGAUGCUUCUUGGUGCUGCAAAGAUCCUGCAAGAACUGAGACAUGUGUUGCAGGGAACUGUUAUACUUGUAUUUCAACCAGCGGAGGAACAAGGGCAAGGUGCAAAAGGCAUGAUUGAAGAAGGGGUGCUUGAUAAUGUGGAGGCCAUUUUUGGGUUGCACUUGGCUCAAAGGUAUCCCACCGGAGUUGUUGCUUCUCGGCCUGAAGAAUUCCUUGCUGGCUGUGGGAGCUUCAAAGCAAAGAUAAGUGGCAAAGGGGGUCACGCAGCCAAUCCUCAGCAAUCUAUUGAUCCAAUCUUGGCGGCUUCAGCUUCAGUAAUUAGCUUGCAACAAAUAGUUUCAAGGGAGACAGAUCCUCUAGAUUCUCAGGUGGUUUCUGUGGCCACGAUCCAUGGAGGAUCUGCAUUUAAUGUGAUACCGGACUCAGCCACAAUAGGCGGAACUUUCAGGGCUUUCAGCAAGAAGAAUUUCCAUGCACUGAAAGAAAGAAUAGAAGAGGUAAUUAAAGGGCAAGCAGCUGUGCAUAGGUGCUCUUCUGAGAUUGAUUUCACUGGAACUGAAAACCCCACAAUUCCUCCAACCAUAAACGAUGCUAAAAUCUAUGAACAUGCACGGCGUGUUUCAAUUGAACAAGUAGGAGAAGAGAACACUCAACUAGCACCUACCUUCAUGGGGAGCGAAGAUUUUGCUUUCUACCAGGAAAAAGUACCUGGAUCCUUCUGGCUUUUAGGCAUAAGAAAUGAGAAACUUGGAUGCAUACACCCUCCACAUAGCCCUUAUUUUACCGUGGAUGAGGAUGUGUUUCCCAUUGGAGCAGCCAUACAUGCAGCCUUUGCGU
rnacentral:misc_RNA from 1 species